AAGUGAAUUAAGAGGCAACUCUUAACUGGCCGACUGGGGAAAAACCGAGAGGUUCAAGCCCAGGGGGCAGAAAGCUCCACAAAGCAGCGCUAAACAUGUGGAGCGGAAGGCAUGGCGGUAGCGCAUACAACGACGUGCCAA
rnacentral:sRNA from 10 species